rnacentral:rRNA from 1 species
GACUAUAUCAAGGUGGCCGUACCUGCUUGUCUCAUCUGAUCUGAGUAGCUCAACAGGGUAAGGCCCGGUUAGUACUUGGAUGGGAGACCACUGGGAAGGUGGGUACAAACAGUCU